GUUUCCUGAAACUUCUGUCUCACCGUCUUACAAUUUCAUCCUUCAAAUGGAAAUGAAGAAAAACACCGAGUGAGAUGUACACUGAGCUGUGAGAGAUCCCAGGUCAGCCCAAUCCUCUGCCAGAAAAGGCCAGAAACCAAUGGGAUAGGAUUCAAAACUAGAUGAGGAAGAAGAGGAGGAAGAAUGGCUAUGGUGGCUUUUACUGCCUGAGGAAGACACAGAACCACUGCUGGUAUACUGACUAUGAGAAGAGGGC